UUUGAUUGUGAGCUCUAUGACAAUUACAGCAUAAUGAAUACAACAAAAUUGGUAUAGUAAGCGUUGAAGAAAAAAUAUGACACUGAGUGGGCUGGAUUAGAAAAAUACACUAUUAGCCAUUAUCUGAUAUUACAAAUGAUGGAUGACAGAUCAAUGGAGGCUUAAUCUCAUGAACUGCAAAAAUAUCCCAUGAAAUUGUCAGUGAAUGUAUGACUCGUGAUGAAAAGUUUCAAAUUGCUUUCAUUAUUGAUAAAUUACCUCAUUUUAGAAAGGAUUUUUAAAACAACUUAAGCGACAAGGUUAAGGAAUAUAAUUCACCUUGAAAAGUCUAAUUACGCCCAAUUGAGGAUUGAGGAUGAGGCUUGAAAGCAGAAGCAGAAUGGAGAAGGUGAACUUUGUACCGAGGAGAGCUAUCCUAGGUAUGGAGAAACCAAAAUAGAGGAAUAAAGAAGACAAGAGAAAGAGCCAAAAUCGAGGAUCCAACAACCAACAAAAUCAAAAGAAACAAAAAUACUCCACAGGAAAAACAGUACAGUUCCUUUGUUAUAAUUGUAAUUGUGAAACCUGGGUUAUGACAAUGGGG
rnacentral:lncRNA from 1 species